AAACACCAAUUGAGAAGUGUAAAAGGGACCAAAAACAUUUGAAUAUCCCAUUUGAGAUCCACGUGUUAUCCAUUUGUCCCACAUUGCAAGAGUUGGAGAAAGUCCAUCCUCUCUAUAGCUUGCUGGUAAGCUUGAGCUUUGCUUACACUUAAGAGAGCGGGGAGGGGCAGCAUCCUCUGUGGAGCAGCCCCUCAGCCCUCUCCAGGAGGCUGGCUGUGUGGGGUCCCUGCUCCUGGGCAUUUGCUGUGCAACUUCACAUCAAAACCAACUCCCCCAGCUGGAAUGAGGACCAGGGUUCUGGGAGAGGAGAUGCUGCUUUCAAGAUGCACGUGAACGUGAACUUCUGAAGAGCCUGCAGCACGGCCACCCUGUCCUGCCCAGUCUCCAUUUGGGAGAUUACACCAUUGGGUUCCUGGUUUCACUUUGCCCUCACCAACUUUCCAUACUGUCCAGAGACAGUUUGACGCUUGGAGAACACAGUCACUUUCAGAGGGAGGUGCUUUUGCCGAGGAGAAGGGGCAGGAGAUAACUGGCUGUGUGGGAAGGAUCCACUGGUCGGCUCCAAGGCCAUCGAAUAUGGAGAAACUACUAGCUCCAUAAACAGGAGAGUUAAGAGCAGACUCACCUCUUUGAAAAGGUUUGCCUUCAUUGACACUGAAUGUGCUGUUUGAGAACAACAUGAGGCCGUUCAUGAGAGAGUAGAGCCGGGUUACCUGGCAGAGUGUCCAGAGGUUGCAACAAUGACUAUGAAACACGGGGAACUUCAUUG
rnacentral:lncRNA from 1 species